AACGUUGAAGACGACGACGUUGAUAGGCCGGGUGUGUAAGCGCAGCGAUGCGUUGAGCUAACCGGUACUAAUGAACCGUGAGGCUUAACCUUACAACGCCGAAGGUGUUU
rnacentral:rRNA from 1 species